GCAAGUCGAGCGGAUGAUGAGGAGCUUGCUCCUCUGAUUCAGCGGCGGACGGGUGAGUAACACGUGGGCAACCUGCCCUUGAGACUGGGAUAACUUCGGGAAACCGGAGCUAAUACCGGAUAAUAUUUGGAACCUCCUGGUUCCUUAUUGAAAGAUGGUUUCGGCUAUCACUCAAGGAUGGGCCCGCGGCGCAUUAGCUAGUUGGUGAGGUAACGGCUCACCAAGGCGACGAUGCGUAGCCGACCUGAGAGGGUGAUCGGCCACACUGGGACUGAGACACGGCCCAGACUCCUACGGGAGGCAGCAGUAGGGAAUCUUCCACAAUGGACGAAAGUCUGAUGGAGCAACGCCGCGUGAGUGAUGAAGGCCUUCGGGUCGUAAAGCUCUGUUGUUAGGGAAGAACAAGUGCGAGAGUAACUGCUCGCACCUUGACGGUACCUAACCAGAAAGCCACGGCUAACUACGUGCCAGCAGCCGCGGUAAUACGUAGGUGGCAAGCGUUAUCCGGAAUUAUUGGGCGUAAAGCGCGCGCAGGUGGUUUCUUAAGUCUGAUGUGAAAGCCCACGGCUCAACCGUGGAGGGUCAUUGGAAACUGGGGAACUUGAGUGCAGAAGAGGAAAGUGGAAUUCCAAGUGUAGCGGUGAAAUGCGUAGAGAUUUGGAGGAACACCAGUGGCGAAGGCGACUUUCUGGUCUGUAACUGACACUGAGGCGCGAAAGCGUGGGGAGCAAACAGGAUUAGAUACCCUGGUAGUCCACGCCGUAAACGAUGAGUGCUAAGUGUUAGAGGGUUUC
rnacentral:rRNA from 1 species